AACAGUGCCCAGUAGUUCCUUCUACCAAGACCCCAGAGCCACCCUGGUUCUUUUCUGCCCUAGAGCUGGCUUUUCAGCUUCUCCUUUGGGUCCCAUUUUCUUUCUGUGGAGGUCCACCCAGCACCCUUCUCUCUGGCUCUCUGUAAGCUAGUCAGGCAGCCAUGUGCUCCAGAGGGGCUGGGCUCCUGCCCAGUGGGCGUGCUCCUGAAAAGGGACACAAGGAAGGGACAUCCUCUUAUCCUGCCUGAGUGUGGUUGCGGGAGGAUGAGAUGCAUGGGGUGCAUCUUUCAGCCACUAGGGGACCAGUCUAAAGGCCGGAGCCAGCUCCCUGAGGACUACAGAGCAAAAAGAUGGAGAAGCCUGCAUCCAUAAAGACCUUAUUGAGCCAAUGAGUCAACGAGUUCUGGGAUCCCCAAACUUCUUGUUAUAGGACAUGAUAAAUCUUGUUUUAGCCAUUUUGAGUUGGGUUUUCAGUUGCUUACAGCUGAAAAUCUGCCUUCCAGUGAGUUCCUCUUUUGCUUAGUCAGCCAGACUAGAUUUCUUUUGCUUACAACCAAGGAAGUCUGACUUAUGUACCUGGUAACCACAUGACUCGCUCAGACAGGACCUGCUCCAGGAACCUUCCCUCUGGUUAGACCCUCCAUCCUGCUCAGGCUGCCUCCUCUCAGGAGACUCCCCAUGGCUUAAAGUCACCUGCCUCCAUCCCCAGGGGUGUAGCCCUGCUGGGGUUUCCUGGGACAUGGAGCUCAUCCACACAUGUCUGGUUUCCAGGUGCCUUCGUCUGUGAGGUGCUACACUAAGGUGGCCACAGGGAGCCCAGCAGGGCAGAGUGACCACCCUCCAGGAGAGUCCUGGAUGGGGAAACAGAUGCUCAUCAAUGGUCAUGUCCGUAUAUAAUUGCACCCAGGAAGGAGGAGUACAGAGAGAUCUAGCUGGAAUAUAUUGGAAUAUGAAUCACCUCCUGAGAGGAAAAAGGGAAAAGAAACGGAGAGAAGUCCCUCUCAAAACGUGCUGGUGGGUGAGCUGGAAUCCCGCG